CCCUUAGAUGUUCUGGGCUGCACGCGCGCUACACUGAAGCGUUCAACGAGUAUUUCACCUUGCCCGGGAGGGUUGGGUAAUCUUUUUAAAACGCUUCGUGAUGGGGAUAGAUUAUUGCAAUUAUUAAUCUUCAACGAGGAAUGCCUAGUAAGCGCAAGUCAUCAGCUUGCGUUGAUUACGUCCCUGCCCUUUGUACACACCGCCCGUCGCUCCUACCGAUUGAAUGGUCCGGUGAAGCGUUCGGACCGUGGCCUUUGGACGGUUCGCCGUCUGUUGGCUGCGGGAAGUUCGUUAAACCUUAUCAUUUAGAGGAAGGAGAANUCGUAACA
rnacentral:rRNA from 1 species